rnacentral:rRNA from 1 species
AAGCGGUGGAGCAUGUGGUUUAAUUCGACGCAACGCGAAGAACCUUACCUGGGUUUGACAUCCCUGUCGUAUUCCAUGGAAACAUGGGAGUCAGUUCGGCUGGACAGGUGACAGGUGCUGCAUGGCUGUCGUCAGCUCGUGUCGUGAGAUGUUGGGUUAAGUCCCGCAACGAGCGCAACCCUUGUCCUUAGUUGCCACCAUUCAGUUGGGCACUCUAAGGAGACUGCCGGUGUUAAACCGGAGGAAGGUGGGGAUGACGUCAAAUCAUCAUGCCCCUUAUGACCUGGGCUACACACGUGCUACAAUGGUUGGUACAACGAGUUGCGAGUCGGUGACGGCGAGCUAAUCUCUUAAAGCCAAUCUCAGUUCGGAUUGUAGGCUGCAACUCGCCUACAUGAAGUCGGAAUCGCUAGUAAUCGCGGAUCAGCACGCCGCGGUGAAUACGUUCCCGGGCCUU